CCUCCGAUUUCGAUCUGUCAAAAAUAAGUCUACUCCAGAGGAGACUUAUUUUUGACAGAUCGUGAAUCAUUCGCAUCCAGUGGAACAUCGCUAGAUUGUUAUCAUCAAGUUAAUCUGAUUGGCAUUACAUACGGGCAUUACGUUUUGAGGACUGAAUUUUUCUAUUUAAAAUGGAACCACAAAAUAAGAAAAUGAGCCGAAAAGCAUUGCAGUGCAGACGAUAGGUUUAGCAAGCGGCAUUUGCUCGGACUUCAUUAUGAAAUCUGUCGCUCAAACCUCACGUUAUCGGCCGAGAUGAUCCCGCAGAGCAUUUUUUAACUUUUCGAGUGAGCGAUGGUUGCUGACGAGAGUGGUUAAAAGAGGAAACUGCAUAAGGCUGAGUUUCCCGAGGAGUUGCUUCAAACAGAAAUCUCGAAAAGCACUAUUACCACACCACCAAACGAAGAAAAAAGCAGUUUCGGCCGAGUCAGGAGCAAACAAUUGCGCAUAAACCAUGCUCAGCACGUUGUGGGUGGAUCUACUUUGUUUGAGGCAGAUAUUCCACAGAUAGUGCGAAUUCCACCGUUCAGGAAAAUAUGUAGGGGGUCAUCGAAAGCUCUUCUCGCUAUAAAGAAGCCUGUUUUCUUUUUAAAAGAAAAGGAACAGAAAAGAAUGAUCAAUAGGGAAAUCGUUUCCAUUCGUAAAACCAAAUUUACCAACGUUGAAACUCAAAACGAAAGCAGUGGGUUCUGGCGUUACGGUUUAACGGUGACAUAGCUUGUUUCUCAACUCAUUAUUCUCUGGAAACAUCUACAACUAUUAACUAAGAACUGUAUUUGCCAAUUGAUCAUUGUAUCAUAUGUCGAAUGCCAAUCACAGGACUGGUAGCAAGUCUCUUUUAAGAGAUUGAAUAUUUUAAUACGAGUUUCCAUAAAGUUUCUAUUAUCAAUCGUAGAUCUUCAAAAUUUCUUUGCAGUCAAAAUAGUCUCUAAAGUCAUAUGCUUCUUCUUUCCCCUUGCAUUCAAUCUUGGUGCAUGAUUCAAGAGACUCCAGAAUCCUUCAGAAGCUCUUACGUGCCUGUACCACAGUUUCACCAGGAAUUCAUUAUCAGGUUUGUCAAGAAAAAGCUUUGGGAACUAUUCUUGUGAUUUCUCCAAUGAUUUCUUCUGAAAUCAUUUCGUAAACUUUUUAGUGCAUCCCUCGAAACACUACUCUAGAUUCCUCAUCAAUUUUCCCAGGAAUUUGGCCAGAGUUUUUUUUUUUUGUUUUCAAAGUAUGCUUAGAGAAAGUGUUCUCCAGUAAUUUCCACAGGGGCCAUUCUGAAAAAUUUCCCGGUAUUUCCCAAUUGUCUCCAGCACACUCGAUUUCUCCUAGAUAUGUUUCCAUUAGAAAUUUGAUUAAGCAAUUUUCCAAAGAAAUUCAACAAUUCUUCCAGGAGUUACUACCCCGAUUUUGGCAGUUAUUCUCCCUAGAAUCGGCCCAAAAGUUCCUCCAUAAAUCAUUUCAGUAAACCUAUUAAGAACUCUGCUAGUAAAUCAUAAUAAAAAGAUGUGAAGUCCUUAUUAAUCCCUUUACUAGCAGCAUAUUUUUUUCUACAAUAAAAAUAUUUAAAUCGCGAUGACUUUUUUGUUUUUUGAUACACUAGCACCACUUUUUCAUUGACCCAAUCAAAUUUUCAUACGUAUCUCUUAUAUUGUACGAAUACCAUCAAAUCAGGCCUGACCUCUUUCAACCGCAGGUGAAAUUUCUGAACCAUUUUUGUGUGUGGCGGACCAUACUAUUUGAUAUACAAAUAUUCGUAUGAAAUCUCGCAAAAAUCAGAAAAUGAAGGAAAUAAUUUAAGAAAAAAAUGAAAACAUACAAUUGCUGCUCAGCAUCAUGCUAGAUAUUGUGAUAGUCUUUUUUGAAAUUAUGCGAUAAUCUUGCCCAGAUUAUUUUUUAAAAACCUAAGUCAGAUUUAAGAGUAGAACAGCUGGAGACAUUAAAAUACUAAUGGACAAUAAUUUAAAUUUAGCUGUGAAAAAAA
rnacentral:lncRNA from 1 species